rnacentral:rRNA from 1 species
AGAACGAACGCUGGCGGCAUGCCUAAUACAUGCAAGUCGAACGAACUCUUCGGAGUUAGUGGCGCACGGGUGCGUAACGCGUGGGAAUCUGCCCCUUGGUUCGGAAUAACAGUUGGAAACGACUGCUAAUACCGGAUGAUGACGAAAGUCCAAAGAUUUAUCGCCAAGGGAUGAGCCCGCGUAGGAUUAGCUAGUUGGCGAGGUAAAGGCUACACCAAGGCAACGAUCCGUUAGCUGGUCUGAGAGGAUGAUCAGCCACACUGGGACUGAGACACGGCCCAAGCUCCGUACGGGAGCAGCAGUAGGGAAUAUGGACAAUGGGACGAAAGCCUGAACUCCAGCAAUCGCCGCGUGAGUGAAUGAAGGUCCUUAGGGUUAGUAAAGUCUUACUUUACCGAGUAUA